UACAGAGGAUGCAAGCGUUAUCCGGAAUGAUUGGGCGUAAAGCGUCUGUAGGUGGCUUUUUAAGUCCGCCGUCAAAUCCCAGGGCUCAACUCUGGACAGGCGGUGGAAACUACCAAGCUGGAGUACGGUAGGGGCAGAGGGAAUUUCCGGUGGAGCGGUGAAAUGCGUAGAUAUCAAGUGGAACACCAGUGGCGAAGGCGAGUCCCUGGACAACACCUGACACUGAGGCACGAAAGCUAGGGGAGCAAACAGG
rnacentral:rRNA from 1 species